AACGUAGGAGACGAACGUUAUCCGGAGUUACUGGGCGUAAAGGGCGUGUAGGCGGUUUGGUAAGUCUGGCGUGAAAGCUCUCGGCUAAACCGGGAGAGGUCGUUGGAUACUGGCGAACUAGAGGAUGGUAGAGGCGUGUGGAAUUCCGGGUGUAGUGGUGAAAUGCGUAGAGAUCCGGAGGAACACCAGUGGCGAAGGCGACACGCUGGGCCAUACCUGACGCUAAAGCGCGACAGCAUGGGGAGCAAACGGG
rnacentral:rRNA from 1 species